rnacentral:rRNA from 1 species
CAGUCGCCGCGGUAAAACGGAGGGUGCAAGCGUUAAUCGGAAUUACUGGGCGUAAAGCGCACGCAGGCGGUCUGACAAGUCAGAUGUGAAAUCCCCGGGCUUAACCUGGGAACUGCAUUUGAAACUGUCAGGCUGGAGUCUUGUAGAGGGGGGUAGAAUUCCAGGUGUAGCGGUGAAAUGCGUAGAGAUCUGGAGGAAUACCGGUGGCGAAGGCGGCCCCCUGGACAAAGACUGACGCUCAGGUGCGAAAGCGUGGGGAGCAAACAGGAUUAGAUACCCGCGUAGUCCCUGUCUCUUAUAC